CAAUAGCGUAUAUUAAAGUUGUUGCAGUUAAAAAGCUCGUAGUUGGAUUUGUGGCGUACGGUGUGUUCCGGGCACUUGUUGUCUGAGUAACCUGCUGUUGCCAUCCUUGGGUGGAACCUGUGUGGCAUUAGGUUGUCGUGCAGGGGAUGCCCAUCAUUUACUGUGAAAAAAUUAGAGUGUUCAAAGCAGGCUUAUGCCGUUGAAUAUAUUAGCAUGGAAUAAUGAGAUAGGACUUUUUUGCUAUUUUGUUGGUUUGCGCAAAGAGGUAAUGAUUAAUAGGGACAGUUGGGGGUAUUCGUAUUCCAUUGUCAGAGGUGAAAUUCUUGGAUUUCUGGAAGACGAACUACUGCGAAAGCAUUUACCAAGGAUGUUUUCAUUAA
rnacentral:rRNA from 1 species